rnacentral:rRNA from 1 species
AUUGAACGCUGGCGGCAUGCUUUACACAUGCAAGUCGAACGGUAACAGGUUAAGCUGACGAGUGGCGAACGGGUGAGUAAUGCAUCGGAACGUGCCCGAUCGUGGGGGAUAACGCAGCGAAAGCUGCGCUAAUACCGCAUACGAUCUGAGGAUGAAAGCGGGGGACCGUAAGGCCUCGCGCGAUCGGAGCGGCCGAUGUCAGAUUAGGUAGUUGGUGGGGUAAGGGCCCACCAAGCCGACGAUCUGUAGCUGGUCUGAGAGGACGACCAGCCACACUGGGACUGAGACACGGCGCAUACUCCUACGGGAGGCAGCAGUGGGGAAUGUUGGACAAUGGGCGAAAGCCUGAUCCAGCAAUGCCGCGUGCAGGAAGAAGGCCUUCGGGUUGUAAACUGCUUUUGUACGGAGCGAAAAGGUCCUUUCUAAUACAAGGGGCUCAUGACGGUACCGUAAGAAUAAGCACCGGCUAACUACGUGCCAGCCGCCGCGGUAA